GGUGAGUAACACGUGGAUAACCUACCUAUAAGACUGGGAUAACUUCGGGAAGCCGGAGCUAAUACCGGAUAAUAUAUUGAACCGCAUGGUUCAAUAGUGAAAGACGGUUUUGCUGUCACUUAUAGAUGGAUCCGCGCCGCAUUAGCUAGUUGGUAAGGUAACGGCUUACCAAGGCAACGAUGCGUAGCCGACCUGAGAGGGUGAUCGGCCACACUGGAACUGAGACACGGUCCAG
rnacentral:rRNA from 1 species